AGUGAACGCUGGCGGUAGGCCUAACACAUGCAAGUCGAACGGCAGCACAGUAAGAGCUUGCUCUUACGGGUGGCGAGUGGCAGACGGGUGAGGAAUACAUCGGAAUCUACUUUUUCGUGGGGGAUAACGUAGGGAAACUUACGCUAUUACCGCAUACGACCUACGGGUGAAAGCAGGGGAUCUUCGGACCUUGCGCGAUUGAAUGAGCCGAUGUCGGAUUAGCUAGUUGGCGGGGUAAAGGCCCACCAAGGCGACGAUCCGUAGCUGGUCUGAGAGGAUGAUCAGCCACACUGGAACUGAGACACGGUCCAGACUCCUACGGGAGGCAGCAGUGGGGAAUAUUGGACAAUGGGCGCAAGCCUGAUCCAGCCAUACCGCGUGGGUGAAGAAGGCCUUCGGGUUGUAAAGCCCUUUUGUUGGGAAAGAAAAGCAGCAGGUUAAUACCCCGCUGUUCUGACGGUACCCAAAGAAUAAGCACCGGCCAACUUCGUG
rnacentral:rRNA from 1 species